rnacentral:rRNA from 1 species
UACGGGGGGGAGCAAGCGUUGUUCGGAAUCACUGGGCUUAAAGGCGCGUAGGCGGCUGUCAAGUUUGGGGUGAAAUCCCGCGGCUCAACCGUGGAACUGCCUCAAAUACUGACGGUCUCGAGGGGGGUAGGGGCGAGCGGAACUGUGAGUGGAGCGGUGAAAUGCGUAGAUAGUCUGGAGGAACACCGGUGGCGAAGGCGGCAUCCUGGACCAACACUGACGCUGAGUGAGCGAAAGCCCAGGGGAGCAAACGGG